CUAUCGCUCGUGUGCAGUGGAAAUCCUUUCUAUUUUUUUUCUUUAAAAAAUAGAAAGAUUGCAACGUAAAGCCCGAUUCGCC
rnacentral:sRNA from 1 species